UGCGGGGUGGAGCAGAUGGCAGCUCGUCAGGCUCAUUACCUGAAGGCCGGGGGUUCGAGUCCCUCUCCCGCAU
rnacentral:tRNA from 2 species